UCUCCUCCCCACAGCGACCUACCCACCCGACCCAGCCCGCCUUGAAAUCUCUCCCGCCGCCGCGCCGCACGCCGUAGCCUAGCGCCACCGCCCGCCGCCUCAAUCCCGCGCCCCCCAACCCUUCCGCCUCUCACGCGCGUCGCCGUUCCCGUCCUUCCCCACCGCCGCAUCGCGCCCCCGCUGUCCCCAGUCCACCCCGCCCUCAAUCUCUAGCCAUUUGCGCUCUGAGGUACGGUACGAGCUUGUUUUCACCCGGUGAUUCGUUACACCGCACUGACCCCCGCAGCUCCUUGGCGCGCCGGCGCGCAUCCGGCACGCCGUAGAUCCGGCCCCUGAACCCGGAGGUCUCGCCGCGGCAGAAAUCGGGCGGAGGUAGGGCUGUGUGCCCAUCCAUGGGGAGUCGGAAAAUGGCGUCACAGCCCGGGCGCGGCACCGGCGGCGGCGGCGACGCUGGGACGUCGCAGCGCGGGCAGGUGCAGAGCCUGGCGAGGCAGGGGUCUCUGUACAGCCUCACCCUCGACGAGGUGCAGAACCAUCUGGGAGAGCCCCUGCAGAGCAUGAACCUCGACGAGCUGCUCAGGACCGUGUUUCCUGACGACAUGGAGCCCGAUGGCGCGACCACCAGCCAGUAUGUGCCGAGUUCAAGCCUCCUGCGCCAGGGCAGCAUCACGAUGCCGACCGAGCUCAGCAAGAAGACGGUGGAUGAGGUGUGGAAGGGCAUCCAGGAUGCGCCCAAGAGGAGUGUCCAGGGGAGUGGCCGGCGCAAGCGGGAGAGGCAGCCCACACUCGGGGAGAUGACACUCGAGGAUUUCUUGGUCCAAGCAGGGGUUGUUUCCCAGGGAUUUCUCAAGGACACGAGCGAUGCUGGCAAUUUGGGUCUGGUGGGGAGAGAGGCUACAGCAGCCGGAGCCGCAGAUUUGACAUCAGGAGCACAGUGGUUAGGCCAUUACCAGCAGCAGAUUGCAGCUGCAGCCAUCGACACUCAUCAGCAUGGCCAGCAAAUUGUGCCAGCUGCUUAUAUGCCCAUUCAGUUUGUCCCUCAGCCGCUGAAUGUUGUUGGCCCUGGUGCCACUCUGGGGUCUGCUUACUCUGAUGGCCAGAGUACAUCACCAAUGAUCAGUCCAAUCUCUGAUUCUCAGACACCUGGGAGAAAGCGUGGUGUAUCAGGAGAUGUCCCCAAUAAGUUUGUGGAGAGAAGGCAGAAGAGGAUGAUCAAGAAUAGGGAGUCGGCUGCACGUUCAAGGGCUAGGAAACAGGCCUACACCAAUGAACUCGAAAACAAGGUAUCCCGUUUAGAAGAGGAGAAUGAGAGGCUAAAGAAGCAAAAGGAGUUGAACAUGAUGCUUUGCUCGGUGCCUCUACCAGAACCCAAGUACCAACUCAGGAGAACAUGCUCGGCCGCUUUCUGACUCUGUCCAGAAUACUUCGCCUUGUAGAUUUUAAAGCGGUGUCGCUCGUAAGUUUUGCCUCUUCGGUUUAGAAUCGUUUGCGAACCUGGGAGUUCCUUUUUGGCUUAUCCUUGCCCAGUGAUUUCCAGUGUGUAGAUCAGCGGGAGCCUAGCAUGUGCUGUGUUAGCACUUGGCACUCUUAUUUACCUGUGUGCGGAGGCCCUGCCACCAGCCUAGUAUGUAAAUCUGGUGGACACAUUUUAAAGUUAUCAGAGCUUUCUUGACAUGGGCUGCUCUUUCAUGUAAAUGCAAAGUGGUGAACUACCGUGGGGUACGAGACGUUCUGGUGAAACAUGUUUGCUACUACUCCGUGUUCUGGUGUGAGAUUCGGAUGUGUUCUCACCGGCACGAAGCUGGGUGCUUUGGUUUCAGGCUCUUCUGUGGCUUCAGAUUGCUGUGGUGGAGAACAGUGAUGCAGUUUCCUUUUGCUUCAUGAACUACUAGUCCUUAAUGCUCCCAAGUUAUUCGGGAUAACUGUAAAACUCUAUUGUCACCUUAAUUAAUAUACUUCCGAGGCAAAUCUUUU